rnacentral:rRNA from 1 species
GACAGAGGAUGCAAGCGUUAUCCGGAAUGAUUGGGCGUAAAGCGUGCGCAGGCGGUUGGGUAAGACAGAUGUGAAAUCCCCGGGCUCAACCUGGGAACUGCAUUUGUGACUGCACGGCUCGAGUGCGGCAGAGGGGGAUGGAAUUCCGCGUGUAGCAGUGAAAUGCGUAGAUAUGCGGAGGAACACCGAUGGCGAAGGCAAUCCCCUGGGCCUGCACUGACGCUCAUGCACGAAAGCGUGGGGAGCAAACAGG